UCCCUGGAGGACUAGUGGUUAGGCCACAGCACUCUCACUGCUCUGGCCUGGGUUUGAUUCCAAGCCAGGGAA
rnacentral:tRNA from 1 species